rnacentral:rRNA from 1 species
AGAGUUUGAUCCUGGCUCAGAAUCAACGCUGGCGGCGCGCCUAACACAUGCAAGUCGCACGAGAAAGCGGGAGCAAUCUCGCAAGUAAAGUGGCGUACGGGUGAGUAACACGUGGAUCAUCUGCCCUGGAGUGGGGAAUAACGCUGGGAAACCGGCGCUAAUACCGCAUAUACCCGAGAGGGGAAAGCAGCAAUGCGCUCGAGGAGGAGUCCGCGGCCGAUUAGCUAGUUGGCAGGGUAAAAGCCUACCAAGGCUGUGAUCGGUAGCCGGCCUGAGAGGGCACACGGCCACACUGGCACUGAAACACGGGCCAGACUCCUACGGGAGGCAGCAGUGGGGAAUCUUGCACAAUGGGGGAAACCCUGAUGCAGCGACGCCGCGUGAGCGAUGAAGCCCUUCGGGGUGUAAAGCUCUUUCGGCAGGGAAGAUAAUGACGGUACCUGCAGAAGCAGCUGCGGCUAACUACGUGCCAGCAGCCGCGGUAAUACGUAGGCAGCAAGCGUUGUUCGGAGUUACUGGGCGUAAAGGGUGUGUAGGUGGCGCGCUAAGUUCCGUGUGAAAUCUCCCGGCUCAACCGGGAGGGUGCGCGGAAAACUGGCGGGCUAGAGUACGGGAUGGGAGAGUAGAAUUCCUGGUGUAGCGGUGAAAUGCGUAGAUAUCAGGAGGAAUACCGGUGGUGUAGACGGCUCUCUGGACCGUAACUGACACUGAAACACGAAAGCGUGGGUAGCAAACAGGAUUAGAUACCCUGGUAGUCCACGCCCUAAACGAUGCAUAUUUGGUGUAGGUCAUUCAGUUGAUCUGUGCCGGAGCUAACGCGUUAAAUAUGCCGCCUGGGGAGUACAGUCGCAAGGCUGAACUCAAAGGAAUUGACGGGGCCCGCACAAGCGGUGGAGCAUGUGGUUCAAUUCGACGCAACGCGAAGAACCUUACCUG